GCGGGAUUAGUUGAGUGGCCCAAUAUCUCCCUUCCAAGGAGAAGACACGGGUUCAAUUCCCGUAUCCCGCUCCA
rnacentral:tRNA from 1 species